rnacentral:ncRNA from 2 species
GCUUCACUCCACUGAAAUCUGGUUAGGUACGAGACAGACUCCGGUGGAAUGAAGGACA